rnacentral:rRNA from 1 species
CAGAAAAUGACUGAGCGGCGAACGGGUGAGUAACGCGUGAGCAAUCUACCUUAGUUACAGGGAUAGCCCGAGGAAACUCGGAUUAAUACCUGAUAUUCUUUAAAUUUCGCAUGAAAUUAAAAGGAAAGGUCAGCCGAACUAAGAUGAGCUCGCGUUCUAUCAGCUAGUUGGUGAGGUAAAAGCUCACCAAGGCAACGACGGAUAGCUGGUCUGAGAGGACGAUCAGCCACACUGGGACUGAGACACGGCCCAGACUCCUACGGGAGGCUGCAGCAGGGAAUAUUGCGCAAUGAGCGAAAGCUUGACGCAGCGACACCGCGUGUGGGAUGACGGAUCUAGGUUUGUAAACCACUUUCAGGAGGGAAGAAAAUGACGGUACCUCCACAAGAAGCCCCGGCCAACUACGUGCCAGCAGCCGCGGUAAUACGUAGGGGGCGAGCGUUGUCCGGAUUUAUUGGGCGUAAAGAGCUCGUAGGCGGUUCAACAAGUCGGUCGUAAAAGUUCAGGGCUCAACCCUGAAAUGUCGAUCGAUACUGUUGUGACUAGGAUACGGUAGAGGUGAGUGGAAUUCCGAGUGUAGCGGUGAAAUGCGUAGAUAUUCGGAGGAACACCAAUUGCGAAGGCAGCUCACUGGGCCGCUAUCGACGCUGAGGAGCGAAAGCUAGGGGAGCAAACAGGAUUAGAUACCCUGGUAGUCCUAGCUGUAAACGAUGGAUACUAGACGUAGGAACUGGAUUGACGGUUUCUGUGUCGUAGCUAACGCGUUAAGUAUCCCGCCUGGGGAGUACGGUCGCAAGACUAAAACUCAAAGGAAUUGACGGGACCCCGCACAAGCGGCGGAGCAUGCGGCUUAAUUCGAUGAUACCCGUAGAACCUUACCUGGACUUGACAUAUAGGGUCAAGCUAUAGAGAUAUAGUGUGCAUUAGCGCCCUAUACAGGUGGUGCAUGGCUGUCGUCAGCUCGUGUCGUGAGAUGUUGGGUUAAGUCCC